GACGAACGCUGGCGGCGUGCUUAACACAUGCAAGUCGAACGCUGAAGCUCAGCUUUUGUUGGGUGGAUGAGUGGCGAACGGGUGAGUAACACGUGAGUAACCUGCCCCCUUCUUUGGGAUAACGCCCGGAAACGGGUGCUAAUACUGGAUAUUCACUGGUCUUCGCAUGGGGGUUGGUGGAAAGGGUUUUUCUGGUGGGGGAUGGGCUCGCGGCCUAUCAGCUUGUUGGUGGGGUGAUGGCCUACCAAGGCUUUGACGGGUAGCCGGCCUGAGAGGGUGACCGGUCACAUUGGGACUGAGAUACGGCCCAGACUCGUACGGGAGGCAGCAGUGGGUAAUAUUGCACAAUGGGCGCAAGCCUGAUGCAGCGACGCCGCGUGCGAGAUGGAGGCCUUCGGGUUUUGAACCUCUUUCGCUCAUGGUCAAGCCGCAACAAUGGUUGUGGUGAGGGUAGUGGGUAAAGAAGCGCCGGCUAACUACGUG
rnacentral:rRNA from 1 species